AGCAGCCACAAUGCCCCACCUCCUGCAGACCAUAAAGAGCCAGGCUAGCAAAGCUGCUGUACCUCAAUAUGGUCCCUAGAAGGUGCCUCAGGCUGAGAUGUAUCAUAGGAGGUUUACUCCACUUCAUCCAACAGUGUUGUAUCAUCAAAAUCCAAGCACAGAGACAGUAAACUGCCCCAAGUCCAUUUAUGCUUGAAGUAAAGUCCCAGGAUGCUACGGCAAGGGCAUGGUGGGCACUGCCAGCUGACGUAAAUGCAUGGUGUGCUUGAGGAGCUCCUAUCUGAUCUUGCAUCCAGAGCUGUGAGGGGAGAGCAACUAGCUGCUGAGCUCCAAGGUGAAGAAGACACAAAGAUUCAUUUCAAUGCUGAGAGUUAAGGCUGUUUCUUCUGGAGAAGAGAAGACUCUGGAGAGGCUUCAUAGUAAAGCACCUUGAUACCUCCAUAGACUUAAGAAUGGGAUCUGCUAUCUUAUCAAAGGGGGAGAUGUGUACAAAGGCAUUGCAGGCAUCAGAUCCAAGUUUCAUCGUAACAGUUUAAAGUGUAAUGCUGUUGGUUUUUUUUUUUUUUUUUAGUUUUAAAAAAUUAGAUUGACCUAACAAGAAAAUCCAAAUUUUGAAAUAAAAUUAAAUAGGACAAAAUAUUCCUAGUGCUAAAUCUUUUAAAAGGCAACUAUGGCUCCUAGCUUACCUUCUUGUUUAAGACUACAUAUAUGCUGUUGGCUGUUGAGUCUUUUAUGCCUCUGCUGAAAGCACAGGUGCCCUUCCCAGUAUUCUCCAUAAAUGUUUCUGGAUCUUUGUGCCUCUGCUAUUGUGUCUUGUUCAUGGAGGAUUUGUUUACUCCUUUCUGAAAGCAAUUUUAAAACAUCUGGCUGCAAUUACCUUGCUUUCAGGGCUCUUUAUGCCUAAUUUUUUUUUUUCUUUCGUGUUUAGUUUCAUUCAGACACUGGCACCUCUGAAGUACUCCUUGCUGCAUAUAUUCCAACAUGGUUGAGAUAAAACACUGAACUUGCUGCCAUAAAGCAGGCUUUAUUUCAGCUCAAUCAAGCUCCACAGUUGUAGCCCUUCUCAUAACUCCCUGCCAUUGUCUGUGUCCUUCUUCAAUCUUUUUCUAGUGUGAGCCCAGACUGGCCACAAGAAAUGGCCUGAAAGGGAUGGUCCUUUGCAAUUCCUUGAAAUACCAGGACUGGAGAGGUAGCAACACGUUAUGCUUGAGCCCCAAGUGCUUCAGGGAACAUUUGGACAUCUGUAUGUGUAGGGUCUGGCUUCAGAAAUUUUUGUAACUACUCUCAUGUUUCUUUGCCUUUAUUUAAUCAGUUUACUGGAUGAAUUAAUAUAAAAAAAUGCAGAUAGGCAAGAGGUUAACACAGAAGAAUGUCCUUUAUUCAUAUUGAACAGACCAGGCCAGAGAAAUGGAAGAGUAUUCUCAUUUAAAAUACUAUGAAUAUUUCUAAAUUUCAACAUACAAAUGGUAGAAAGUGACCGUAUAGUACAUAGUUUAAUCUCUGAAAGAUCCAGAAUGACACCCUACAUUUCUGCACAAAUUUAAUGGCAAUGCUGACAUCACAGGCUUUCCAGUGUGGGUAUCCAGUGCUGGCACCAAGCAAUCUGUACCACCCUGUCCCUUUUUGAACACUUCCCUGACUUAAUGGCUUGGAAGGAUCAUCUCUGUUAUUAGAAAUAAAUAUCUGAACUAAUACUGUUAAUUGACACUGCUGGUGUCUUUGUCUUGCAUCUGCUGCCAUUGCAGUGUAUCAAAAAUAGAUAAUUUUCUGAUUUGCUUGUCAUGUUAAUUGGACACUUUCAUACAACAUAUUUAAUAUUUCUAAGUGGCAGAGCAAAAAUCCCCAGACUGAGGGUAACAUGGGGUGCUUUAGGAAGUGUGUAAGUUCAAGAGUAAUGUAGAAAAGUAAUACUGUGUACCCAAGAGUGUAAUUGUAGCUCUGGCUGCUUUUUUCUCCUUUUCUCAGAUGGGGAAAGUUUUGGAGGGGGCUGUUUGAAACAGUU